CUCCGGUUGAUCCCGCCGGACCCGACUGCUAUCAGAGUGGGACUAAGCCAUGCGAGUCAACAUAGCAAUAUGUGGCAUACGGCUCAGUAACACGUAGUCAACAUGCCCAGGGGACGUGGAUAACCUCGGGAAACUGAGGAUAAACCGCGAUAGGUCAUCACUUCUGGAAUGGGUAAUGACUUAAAUCUAUAUGGCCCCUGGAUUGGACUGCGGCCGAUCAGGCUGUUGGUGAGGUAAUGGCCCACCAAACCUGUAACCGGUACGGGCUCUGAGAGGAGGAGCCCGGAGAUGGGCACUGAGACAAGGGCCCAGGCCCUAUGGGGCGCAGCAGGCGCGAAACCUCUGCAAUAGGCGAAAGCUUGACAGGGUUACUCUGAGUGAUUUCCGCUAAGGGAAUCUUUUGGCACCUCUAAAAAUGGUGCAGAAUAAGGGGUGGGCAAGUCUGGUGUCAGCCGCCGCGGUAAUACCAGCACCCCGAGUGGUCGGGACGAUUAUUGGGCCUAAAGCAUCCGUAGCCGGUCCUGCAAGUCUUCCGUUAAAUCCAGCUGCUCAACAGAUGGGCUGCGGGAGAUACUACAGGGCUAGGAGGCGGGAGAGGCAAGCGGUACUUUAUGGGUAGGGGUAAAAUCCGCUGAUCCAUAGAAGACCACCAGUGGCGAAGGCGGCUUGCCAGAACGCGCUCGACGGUGAGGGAUGAAAGCUGGGGGAGCAAACCGGAUUAGAUACCCGGGUAGUCCCAGCUGUAAACGAUGCAGACUCGGUGAUGGGUUGGCCUCGCGCCUGCCCAGUGCCGCAGGGAAGCCGUUAAGUCUGCCGCCUGGGGAGUACGGUCGCAAGACUGAAACUUAAAGGAAUUGGCGGGGGAGCA
rnacentral:rRNA from 1 species